rfam:Pantoea sp. PSNIH2, complete genome.
CUUUAACAAUCCGGAACAAGCUGAAAAUUUGAAAGAGCAGCUUCUUGUAUAAAGAACUGUUCAGAGUCUCUCAAUUUCUCGCACCAUGCGGUGUCGCAAGACGCCUGCGG